CCAACGACCACCCAGGGCCGGAAAGUUGGUCAAACCCGGUCAUUUAGAGGAAGUAAAAGUCGUAACAAGGUCUCCGUAGGUGAACCUGCGGAGGGAUCAUUACAAGUGACCCCGGUCUAACCACCGGGAUGUUCAUAACCCUUUGUUGUCCGACUCUGUUGCCUCCGGGGCGACCCUGCCUUCGGGCGGGGGCUCCGGGUGGACACUUCAAACUCUUGCGUAACUUUGCAGUCUGAGUAAACUUAAUUAAUAAAUUAAAACUUUUAACAACGGAUCUCUUGGUUCUGGCAUCGAUGAAGAACGCAGCGAAAUGCGAUAAGUAAUGUGAAUUGCAGAAUUCAGUGAAUCAUCGAAUCUUUGAACGCACAUUGCCCCCCCUGGUAUUCCGGGGGGCAUGCCUGUUCGAGCGUCAUUUCACCACUCAAGCCUCGCUUGGUAUUGGGCAACGCGGUCCCCCGCGUGCCUCAAAUCGACCGGCUGGGUCUUCUGUCCCCUAAGCGUUGUGGAAACUAUUCGCUAAAGGGUGCUCGGGAGGCUACCCCGUAAAACAAACCCAUUUCUAAGGUUGACCUCGGAUCAGGUAGGGAUACCCGCUGAACUUAAGCAUAUCAAUAAC
rnacentral:rRNA from 1 species